CUGGAGGAUAAAAAGACAGACAACACGACUGUCAAAAAUGAGGAAGACACCUGGGCCAUUUUAUGCCACAGAUUUAAUGGAUCGACACGGAUUAAAGAAAAAAGGAACCCAAAUCAAAUGAAGGUGUGCUGGAAAAACGCGAAGCGAAAGCGAAAGCAAAAGCAAAAAAAGGAUGCAGCAGAGGCGAGUGCUAUUUCAGACCGGAGGGGGCCUCCGUCCAAGAGAAUUGAUCCUCUCUCCCAGAAGAUUUGAGAGAUGGUUCCCCAGCAGUUUGCCCCUCUCCUUUACCCUUAUGAUGACGACGGACAACUCGGCCCACCGAUAUUUAGUAAACAUAAAUAACUGGGACUCCUGAAACAACCAGCAAACCAGGCUGUCGUAAUGUGAAUCAGUGGAUGUAAAUAAUCUAGCUAGCUAAAGCAUUUAUUGCAAAUUGAAUGUACAAUUUUGGAAGCUUGCCUUGCUGAUAUUUGCCAUGCAAUACAGAAAGAUGAAGUAA